CUCUGGUAUUGAUUGGUGCUUGCAUCAUGAUUUACAUUUGAGUGAGUGGCGAACUGGUGAGUAACACGUGGGAAACCUGCCCAGAAGCGGGGGAUAACACCUGGAAACAGAUGCUAAUACCGCAUAACAACUUGGACCGCAUGGUCCGAGCUUGAAAGAUGGCUUCGGCUAUCACUUUUGGAUGGUCCCGCGGCGUAUUAGCUAGAUGGUGGGGUAACGGCUCACCAUGGCAAUGAUACGUAGCCGACCUGAGAGGGUAAUCGGCCACAUUGGGACUGAGACACGGCCCAAACUCCUACGGGAGGCAGCAGUAGGGAAUCUUCCACAAUGGACGAAAGUCUGAUGGAGCAACGCCGCGUGAGUGAAGAAGGGUUUCGGCUCGUAAAACUCUGUUGUUAAAGAAGAACAUAUCUGAGAGUAACUGUUCAGGUAUUGACGGUAUUUAACCAGAAAGCCACGGCUAACUACGUGCCAGCAGCCGCGGUAAUACGUAGGUGGCAAGCGUUGUCCGGAUUUAUUGGGCGUAAAGCGAGCGCAGGCGGUUUUUUAAGUCUGAUGUGAAAGCCUUCGGCUCAACCGAAGAAGUGCAUCGGAAACUGGGAAACUUGAGUGCAGAAGAGGACAGUGGAACUCCAUGUGUAGCGGUGAAAUGCGUAGAUAUAUGGAAGAACACCAGUGGCGAAGGCGGCUGUCUGGUCUGUAACUGACGCUGAGGCUCGAAAGUAUGGGUAGCAAACAGGAUUAGAUACCCUGGUAGUCCAUACCGUAAACGAUGAAUGCUAAGUGUUGGAGGGUUUCCGCCCUUCAGUGCUGCAGCUAACGCAUUAAGCAUUCCGCCUGGGGAGUACGGCCGCAAGGCUGAAACUCAAAGGAAUUGACGGGGGCCCGCACAAGCGGUGGAGCAUGUGGUUUAAUUCGAAGCUACGCGAAGAACCUUACCAGGUCUUGACAUACUAUGCAAAUCUAAGAGAUUAGACGUUCCCUUCGGGGACAUGGAUACAGGUGGUGCAUGGUUGUCGUCAGCUCGUGUCGUGAGAUGUUGGGUUAAGUCCCGCAACGAGCGCAACCCUUAUUAUCAGUUGCCAGCAUUAAGUUGGGCACUCUGGUGAGACUGCCGGUGACAAACCGGAGGAAGGUGGGGAUGACGUCAAAUCAUCAUGCCCCUUAUGACCUGGGCUACACACGUGCUACAAUGGAUGGUACAACGAGUUGCGAACUCGCGAGAGUAAGCUAAUCUCUUAAAGCCAUUCUCAGUUCGGAUUGUAGGCUGCAACUCGCCUACAUGAAGUCGGAAUCGCUAGUAAUCGCGGAUCAGCAUGCCGCGGUGAAUACGUUCCCGGGCCUUGUACACACCGCCCGUCACACCAUGAGAGUUUGUAACACCCAAAGUCGGUGGGG
rnacentral:rRNA from 2 species